rnacentral:rRNA from 1 species
GACGAACGCUGGCGGCGUGCCUAAUACAUGCCAGUAGAACGCUGAAGGAGGAGCUUGCUUCUCUGGAUGAGUUGCGAACGGGUGAGUAACGCGUAGGUAACCUGCCUGGUAGCGGGGGAUAACUAUAGGAAACGAUAGCUAAUACCGCAUAAGAGUAGAUGUUGCAUGACAUUUGCUUAAAAGAUGCAAUUGCAUCACUACGAGAUGGACCUGCGUUGUAUUAGCUAGUUGGUGAGGUAACGGCUCACCAAGGCGACGAUACAUAGCCGACCUGAGAGGGUGCUCGGCCACACUGGGACUGAGACACGGCCCAGACUCCUACGGGAGGCAGCAGUAGGGAAUCUUCGGCAAUGGACGGAAGUCUGACCGAGCAACGCCGCGUGAGUGAAGAAGGUUUUCGGAUCGUAAAGCUCUGUUGUAAGAGAAGAACGAGUGUGAGAGUGGAAAGUUCACACUGUGACGGUAUCUUACCAGAAAGGGACGGCUAACUACGUG